GGCUGCCUGACUCAGCUGGUAGAGUGUGGGACUCCUGAUCUCAGAGCCAUGAGUUCCAGCCCCAUGCCAGCCA
rnacentral:tRNA from 1 species